UGACUUUGAUUCUUUUAGGGCGUGAUUGAUAAUAGGAAACCAGACUUAGAGGUUCGACUUUGAUUCUUUUAAGGCGUGAUUGAUAAUAGGAAGUGGCUUUUGGAAGUUCAGAACUUCUCAACUUUCAUGUUUGAUAAAAAUGAGAACUCCAAAUAAAAACUUUAGUUUGCUGUUGAUCUUCCAACACCACCAUUUUGUAAAAAAAGUUCCGACCCAAAAGUCGGAACUCAAAAUUGCCAAGUUCGUAACUUCCUCUCGUUCUGUAACCCUAGCCUCUUUUCUCUUCAUCGCUGGUGAGCACCCACCCCGAUAAGCACCUCUCUCUUCGCAGCUUCCCAUCUUCGCCGCUGAGAAAUCCAGACAUACAAAGUAACCCCCAUUAAAUGCCCACGCUCCUCUCUCUCUAAAAUUUCUCUUUCUCUCUCAUGGUUUCCAUUUGCUCACACCGCUUGUGCCAGAAGAAGCUUGCUCCAGUGACUAGGGUUUUUUUUUAUGUUUCCUCCAUUAAGAUCACGGCCAAACUUACAGAAGUGGCACAAGAACGGGGCAGAGGAAUUCAUAUAUUCACAAACUUGGCUUCUAUACCAUUUGAUGGGACCCUGGCUUAGAUACCAUUUAUUUUGGUAUGGACUAUAGGCCGGUUUGGAAAAUAAAUUGCAUUUUUAUCAUUUGGUGUUAGUGGUGGGCAUAUAACAAAUGUAACUCUCGCCAAUGGGAUAAAAACCAGUCUUUUCUCUAA